GCCUAUAGAGGCCUAUAGAAGCAGGGCCUAUAGAAGAACAUCUCCUUCCAGCUCCAUGGGACUUUCCCACAUGGUCCCGGCUGCAAACCCGGGGGAAGAAGACUGGGAAAUGUAGCCUAGGCUAGAUGGACAAUGCCAGCCCAUCCCCUUUUGUCAGAGGGUCAGAUGGUGGUAGAGAUCUGGGGGAUCCCCAGUCUAUGCAGGCUAAGUCCUGCUCUCCCCAAAAGAGGAUUUCUCAGAAGCAUACACAUUGUCAUGAGGCCUGCUUGGGAUGGCCUGGACUUGUGGCCUGCAGCUCUAAGUGAACUUCAGCCCCACAGGAGCUGGGCAGGAGCUGGCCUGUGUCAACUUCACAUCAAAACUCCGAGUGACUGUGCUUGCUGUCUCUCCUCCGACCUCACCGAAGAUAUUAUCCUUUGCAGGGCCAUCCUGCAAAAAUACCAUGAUUGGGGGAUCUUUUUAAAGGAGAUGAGCUCACCCAGAGCAAAUUUGGACUGUACAUAUCUCAGUGCUGGAUAGCUUGUCUAUAUGCACCAGACCCCUAGGUUCAAGCCCAGCAAUACAGACCCAUUUAAAAAAAAAUCCCAAGAUACAACAGAGAGCAAAUAUGGAAAGGUGUCUGGAGACCACCCUAUUCCCAUGUGAUCAGUAUAAAGUUCUCAGGUCAGAACCAUCUACUAGUGGAUCACUCCAGGGAGCUGAAGACCCCAACUUCAUGAAGCAUAUUCCUAAAAUAUUUCAGUCCCAAGUUUACUUCCUUGGCAGGAGUCAAAAUGGACCUGCUGAUUGGGUGAGACAUUUGCUAGCUGGUGUGUGUUCAACCCCUUGCAAGGACCGGCUGCAAGGGCAGAGAGGAGCCGUGGCAGCACACCAGCUCUUCACUGGGCACCACACUUUGCGCUCCCAAGAGACUGGGGAGCUUUGGUGGAUGGAGCUCUGUUAGCGGUGGAAACCUCAAAAGCGAUCUCAAUCUCUGACGGUGACAAAAUUACCCAA